AACCAUUCUCUGUCAGAACGUCUGGAGUAAAUGUGUGGUUAGAUUUUUCUUCCCGCCCGCGUGGCGCAGGCCGUAUUGGUACCAAGUUCCUUGCUUCAUAUUUCCUGUUACCAGAUACGUACCACAGACACCCACGCAGCAUCACACCAUGUGUACCUAACCUGAAUUGCCGAGUGAGUAAACUAGCAUUUCGUUGUUAUUCGAUUUCCGAUGACUUUGGAUUUCGAAAGCCAUCUGCCUUGUCUUUAUUUCUACACGUAGCAACGUCUAACCCCGCGUAUUUCUUUUACAGCAAUUUCAAUCCUGCCCGGUGAAGCGUGCGAUUGCCCGACGCGUGUCACCUGACCCAACCCCAAGAAGGUGUCGUUGGUGACCAGAGCCGUCAGCGAGCCACGAGCCGUCCGGAGCUCCUGUCCUGGCCCCGUCCGACAGUCCAGGUUGGCCGUUGUAUGUUCGUUGAGCGGAUACUGAGGAAUUUCCUUAGGAUUUCUAUUAAUCUUCAGCGGCAUCAGCCUUCUAACGCCGCUGCUGAAUGUAGGAUUGCAAAGGCAGAACCCGGGUGGACUCUAGCGGGUUAAAACCUUUAUUUUAUUUUAUUUUUUACUUCGUAGGGAGCCCCGUUAGACGGGCAGUAGUAUCUAAAUUGCACUUUGAACCUUUUGUAGGCGCUAGGCUAUCAACGUCCUUCGGUUACGGGGCCUUAACGUUAAACUGCUAUCCCAUUGAAGUAAUAUAGAAGUUUCUCUGGGGUUAAUACCAUCUUUCUAUCCCUGUGGCGUGAAACACAGGGGUAGAACCUUUGGUUUCCCCACUUUAAUGUAAUUUCCUUGCAAUACCUUGUAUACUUCAACCAGACAAUUAUAAGGACUUAAUCCCUGGUCUCAUUUUGGACCUAUUUGAGUUAUAAAAUAUUGUGUGAGGCAGGGUUUUGAUAAAUAAAUAUUAAUAACUGUAC